AGUGAACGCUGGCGGUAGGCCUAACACAUGCAAGUCGAACGGCAGCACAGUAAGAGCUUGCUCUUACGGGUGGCGAGUGGCGGACGGGUGAGGAAUACAUCGGAAUCUACUUUUUCGUGGGGGAUAACGUAGGGAAACUUACGCUAAUACCGCAUACGACCUACAGGUGAAAGCAGGGGAUCUUCGGACCUUGCGCGAUUGAAUGAGCCGAUGUCGGAUUAGCUAGUUGGCGGGGUAAAGGCCCACCAAGGCGACGAUCCGUAGCUGGUCUGAGAGGAUGAUCAGCCACACUGGAACUGAGACACGGUCCAGACUCCUACGGGAGGCAGCAGUGGGGAAUAUUGGACAAUGGGCGCAAGCCUGAUCCAGCCAUACCGCGUGGGUGAAGAAGGCCUUCGGGUUGUAAAGCCCUUUUGUUGGGAAAGAAAAGCAGCAGGUUAAUAACCCGCUGUUCUGACGGUACCCAAAGAAUAAGCACCGGCUAACUUCGUG
rnacentral:rRNA from 1 species